UGCCGUAUGUCCGGGUGGCGAGGGAGCGGUCUUGAAAACCGCUGGCUGUAAAAGGCUUGCAGGUUCGAAUCCUGUGUACGGCGUUA
rnacentral:tRNA from 1 species